GGCGAACGCUGGCGGCGUGCCUAAUACAUGCAAGUCGAGCGAAUGGAUUAAGAGCUUGCUCUUAUGAAGUUAGCGGCGGACGGGUGAGUAACACGUGGGUAACCUGCCCAUAAGACUGGGAUAACUCCGGGAAACCGGGGCUAAUACCGGAUAACAUUUUGAACCGCAUGGUUCGAAAUUGAAAGGCGGCUUCGGCUGUCACUUAUGGAUGGACCCGCGUCGCAUUAGCUAGUUGGUGAGGUAACGGCUCACCAAGGCAACGAUGCGUAGCCGACCUGAGAGGGGGAUCGGCCACACUGGGACGGAGGCACGGCCCAGACUCCUACGGGAGGCAGCAGUAGGGAAUCUUCCGCAAUGGACGAAAGUCUGACGGAGCAACGCCGCGUGAGUGAUGAAGGCUUGCGGGUCGUAAAACUCUGUUGUUAGGGAAGAACAAGUGCUAGUUGAAUAAGCUGGCACCUUGACGGUACCUAACCAGAAAGCCACGGCUAACUACGUGCCAGCCGCCGCGGUAA
rnacentral:rRNA from 1 species